rnacentral:tRNA from 1 species
UCUCUGGCAGUCCACUGCUUAGGACUUGGCACUUUCACUGCUGAGGGUGCAGGUUCAAUCCCUGAUUAGGGAA